AAUAGCUCAGUAACACGUGGCCAAACUACCCUUCGGAGCACGAUACCCUCGGGAAACUGAGGCUAAUAGUGCAUACCACAAUCCAGCUGGAAUGAGGAUUGUGCCAAACGCUCCGGCGCCGAAGGAUGUGGCUGCGGCCGAUUAGGUAGACGGUGGGGUAACGGCCCACCGUGCCAAUAAUCGGUACGGGUCAUGAGAGUGAGAACCCGGAGACGGAAUCUGAGACAAGAUUCCGGGCCCUACGGGGCGCAGCAGGCGCGAAACCUUUACACUGCACGCCAGUGCGAUAAGGGAAUCCCAAGUGCGCAGGCAUAGAGCCUGCGCUUUUGUCCACCGUAGGAAGGUGGACGAAUAAGGGCUGGGCAAGACCGGUGCCAGCCGCCGCGGUAAUACCGGCAGCCCGAGUGAUGGCCGAUUUUAUUGGGCCUAAAGCGUCCGUAGCUGGCCGCACAAGUCCAUCGGAAAAUCCACCCGCCCAACGGGUGGGCGUCCGGUGGAAACUGUGUGGCUUGGGACCGGAAGGCGCGACGGGUACGUCCGGGGUAGGAGUGAAAUCCCGUAAUCCUGGACGGACCGCCGAUGGCGAAAGCACGUCGCGAGGACGGAUCCGACA
rnacentral:rRNA from 1 species